rnacentral:rRNA from 1 species
AUUGAACGCUGGCGGCAUGAUUUACACAUGCAAGUCGAACGGUAACAGGCCGCAAGGUGCUGACGAGUGGCGAACGGGUGAGUAAUGCAUCGGAACGUGCCCAGUCGUGGGGGAUAACUACUCGAAAGAGUAGCCAAUACCGCAUACGAUCUAUGGAUGAAAGCGGGGGACCGUAAGGCCUCGCGCGAUUGGAGCGGCCGAUGUCGGAUUAGGUAGUUGGUGGGGUAAAGGCUCACCAAGCCAACGAUUUGUAGCUGGUCUGAGAGGACGACCAGCCACACUGGGACUGAGACACGGCCCAGACUCCUACGGGAGGCAGCAGUGGGGAAUUUUGGACAAUGGGCGCAAGCCUGAUCCAGCAAUGCCGCGUGCAGGAAGAAGGCCUUCGGGUUGUAAACUGCUUUUGUACGGAACGAAACGGCUCUGGUUAAUACCCGGGGCUAAUGACGGUACCGUAAGAAUAAGCACCGGCUAACUACGUG